rnacentral:lncRNA from 1 species
GAGGGCUUUAUUUAUAGCCUCCUUUUUUUCUGUCACUAUUAGAUAAAUUCUAUGCAAGAAUGUUCUCCAAGGUUUCUCUCUGUUCUUACCCUUCGGCUUCCAGGGCCAGAGGUCUUGCAUUGGCUCUGCUUUGCUCUCUGUUCUCCUGGCCAUCCUCAGACCCAGAGCCACAGGUAAGGUAGGCUGCUUCUUAGCCUUUCUCUUUUCUCCAGCAGACUCGGGGCCCAAAUUGGGACCUUUGUGAGAGAAAAUAAAAACCACCUUCAGAAAGGUGGGGAAUCAGCAGGAUUGGGAAAUGGAAUAAAAGAAGAAGAGUCACAUGACCAUUGCAGUCUACGCAUUGAGGUAAAGAAAGCAGGAAACUGUGACUAAAUGAAGAUCACAGAGCCAGUUGAUCAGUGGGGAAGCUGCAUCUGAAAUCCAGGACUUCUAGAUCCUGGGUCAACUGGUAAUCACAAGCGUACAGAUAACAGGCAGGCAGGAAUGUGAAAAUCAGAGAGAAGAGAGAUGUGCACCAGAAGCUGGAGUAAUGUGCUUUGAAGAUGGAGGAAGGGACCAUAAAUCAAGGAAUGCAGACAGCCUGUAGAAGCUGGGAAAGGCAAGGAUGUGGAUUCACUCGAGUCUCUAGAAGAAACGCAACCCCGCCAACACCUUGAUUUGAGGACGUCUGACCUUCAGAAUGAGAAAAUGAUACAUUUGUGUUGUAAGCCACCCAGUUUGUGAAAUAUGUAUCAACAAUUGAAAACUAGUACAUAGUCAAAUACUCAAUCUCUGUUUUUUUUAGCUUAUCAUUUUCAAUCUCUGUCUCCAACCCACAAACCACAUGCAUCAUAAAUAAAUUAAAAUACCAAAA